CACGUAGGGGGCAAGCGUUGUCCGGAAUUAUUGGGCGUAAAGAGCGUGUAGGCGGCCAGAUAAGUCCGCUGUGAAAUCUCGAGGCUCAACUUCGAGCUGUCGGUGGAAACUGUCUGGCUAGAGUCCGGAAGAGGAGAAUGGAAUUCCUGGUGUAGCGGUGAAAUGCGCAGAUAUCAGGAAGAACACCCGUGGCGAAGGCGGUUCUCUGGAACGCAACUGACGCUGAGACGCGAAAGCGUGGGGAGCGAACAGG
rnacentral:rRNA from 1 species